UAUGUCCCAACUUCUUGCCAUUAUGCUGUUUCCUUGGUGAAAUGCAGGCGUUUAUUUGAAAGUGAUUAAUGAAAGAUGAAUUGCAAUAUCACUACUUGCAGCGACAACAUUUGGAAACUGAUGGUGCCCACAGAUGAAGUCAGUAAAGGAGUGCCUCUGAAACCCUUUGAGCUUUUUUAUGUCACUUCAGUGUCCACCUUGUGUGUCUUUGCAACAUGGGGAGAGAAGGUGGUGAGUGCUGUUCGCUAGUGUGAGAAUAAGGCGAGAGCACAGGGUGCAGAGGUCCCACGGUGGGUACCAGAGCAGUGCUUUCCGCAGUGGCCACACACUGCAGUCACCUGGGACACUUUGAAAACUCUGGAAGCCCAGUCUAUACCCCAAGCAAUUAGGUCACAGUCUCAGGUGGGUCAAACACAGAUAUUAGUAUAUUAGUAACUUAAUGUUUCCCAAGUAGUUAAAAUGUGAAGCUAAGUUUGAGAAUCACUACUUUAGAGGGGACUUUAAACCUUAAUUUUGAAGAUUUAAGAUAGAGUUUUUUGAGAGAGGACUGUAUUUUGAGAUAAAUCUAGGAGAGGCUUUGGGGUGAAAAGAUGUUUGGGGCUAAACUUCUCAUUCUUUGUUUGAGAACUGAGGCCAAGAGAGGUUAAAUGAUUUGCCUCAGAUCCUUCUGAAUCAGUGAAACAGUGAUCGUGGGUAUCUUGCCUUCUGUGUGUUAAGCAUCCCUUAGCCUUAGCUUUCUUAGGUCUGGUUCAAAAACAAUGAUCUAGAAUAUCUUAGACGCAGGGGAGAACUAGUGAGUAUCAAAUGAAAUAAUGUGUGAGAAAGUCCUUCAUAAAUUACAGAGCAUUAUCCAAAGCAAAGACUUUAUAUUAAAGAUAUGAGAGAUGAGCCUAGAAGUCAGUGAAGGAAGUGAAAACAAUUCAACCCAAGGCUCUGAACUGAA